CUGACUUCUCCUACUUGUGCAACCCUGCACCCUAACUAGUGGGUUCAAGUGAUUGUGUCCAACCACCUAGUGAAGGACAAUGCAAUACUAGAAUUUUAUCAUUUUUGGGUUUGUUAAAACUUUGUCUAUUUUGGAUUGGUAUCGAAAAAUAGAACCAUGGAUCUAUGACCAACCUUUCUAUGAUGGCCAAAUUGAUAAGUCGUCCUACAUGUCCAUGCUUGAAAUCUAGCUAUCUAAACUUCUAAGCACCAACCCUUGCACGUGUUCAAAGAUGAGGAAUUCAUUAAUCUACAACUGGGAGCGAGGCACUUUGAACACCUAGUGGAAGAGUCUUAUGACCCAUCUAUUUUGUUCUCUUUUUGACUUUUGGAGGCCAAGUGGCUCCAGCAGGA
rnacentral:lncRNA from 1 species